rnacentral:lncRNA from 1 species
UGCCUUCACAUCUGAUAUGAAUUUGUUUCAAAGUUUAUGAUUUUGUCUUCACAAUCCUUGGGCCAAAAUUGUUUAAAUUCUAUUCAAAUUGUUGCAUAUAAUUACUUUGAUUUUCUCACAGAUAAUCCCCAACUUUUCUUUGUUCAUGAGAUAAUGAACUCUUUUAGGCAUUUCAUCGAGCACCUGUUACGCAUCAAUAAAACAUAGGUUAACAACCCCGUUUGUAAUUUACUUCCUUCCAACUGAAUCGUCUUAAAGGCAUACACAACUUCAAAUAUUAACAACUCUAACUUUAAAUCAACGUUUUUAUCAGAAAAUUAAGAUUAAUAUGAUUAUUUUGUAAAUGAAUUCAUUACAAUCGAAGCUGAUUUUACAUUAUUUGAAACAGAGGAUGAUUAUGCAUAAUAAAAUAUCUUUUUCAUGUUCAAAUCUAACCUGAUUUUGUACGAUUUAAAUAAAAUAUUGAAGAAUUCAGUAGAAACCAUGGCGAAUUCAAUGUCUUUUAGGUUUUCUUCGUGUUUGCUUGAUGAACGAAGGAGAUGACGACGAACAUCGAGUCUUGCCUUGUUAGUCCAAUAUGGUUUCUGGUUAACCAAGCCCAUCCCAAC